GCCCCGGAUCGCAUGGAAGAUUAGACGAACUUGAGUAUAUGGGAGCACCUGCGGCUGGAAAUGCUGUCUCUAAUGUGCUGGAGAACUCCGGACAGGCCGGUACCUUUAGUAAUCUUGUGCAUCAAGGUGGAACUUCGGUUCAAUGCUAACAUAGCAAAACU
rnacentral:lncRNA from 1 species